rnacentral:sRNA from 2 species
CUCUAGCCCUGAUAGCAGCGGCAUCCUUUUUGUUUUUUCUUUAAAAACAAAAAGAUAUAGCGGAUAGCAGGAAAUAGC